GGGCAACGUAUUGCAUUAACAUGCAAGUCGAACCAGCAGUCAACGAGAGAGCUUGCUCUCUUGGCGGCGAGUGGCGGACGGGUGAGUAAUAUAUCGGAACGUGCCCAGUAGCGGGGGAUAACUACUCGAAAGAGUGGCUAAUACCGCAUACGCCCUACGGGGGAAAGGGGGGGAUCGCAAGACCUCUCACUAUUGGAGCGGCCGAUAUCGGAUUAGCUAGUUGGUGGGGUAAAGGCUCACCAAGGCAACGAUCCGUAGCUGGUUUGAGAGGACGACCAGCCACACUGGGACUGAGACACGGCCCAGACUCCUACGGGAGGCAGCAGUGGGGAAUUUUGGACAAUGGGGGAAACCCUGAUCCAGCCAUCCCGCGUGUAUGAUGAAGGCCUUCGGGUUGUAAAGUACUUUUGGCAGAGAAGAAAAGGUAUCCCCUAAUACGGGAUGCUGCUGACGGUAUCUGCAGAAUAAGCACCGGCUAACUACGUGCCAGCAGCCGCGGUAAUACGUAGGGUGCAAGCGUUAAUCGGAAUUACUGGGCGUAAAGCGUGUGUAGGCGGUUCGGAAAGAAAGAUGUGAAAUCCCAGGGCUCAACCUUGGAACUGCAUUUUUAACUGCCGAGCUAGAGUAUGUCAGAGGGGGGUAGAAUUCCACGUGUAGCAGUGAAAUGCGUAGAUAUGUGGAGGAAUACCGAUGGCGAAGGCAGCCCCCUGGGAUAAUACUGACGCUCAGACACGAAAGCGUGGGGAGCAAACAGGAUUAGAUACCCUGGUAGUCCACGCCCUAAACGAUGUCAACUAGCUGUUGGGGCCGUUAGGCCUUAGUAGCGCAGCUAACGCGUGAAGUUGACCGCCUGGGGAGUACGGUCGCAAGAUUAAAACUCAAAGGAAUUGACGGGGACCCGCACAAGCGGUGGAUGAUGUGGAUUAAUUCGAUGCAACGCGAAAAACCUUACCUACCCUUGACAUGUCUGGAAAGCCGAAGAGAUUUGGCCGUGCUCGCAAGAGAACCGGAACACAGGUGCUGCAUGGCUGUCGUCAGCUCGUGUCGUGAGAUGUUGGGUUAAGUCCCGCAACGAGCGCAACCCUUGUCAUUAGUUGCUACGCAAGAGCACUCUAAUGAGACUGCCGGUGACAAACCGGAGGAAGGUGGGGAUGACGUCAAGUCCUCAUGGCCCUUAUGGGUAGGGCUUCACACGUCAUACAAUGGUCGGGACAGAGGGUCGCCAACCCGCGAGGGGGAGCCAAUCUCAGAAACCCGAUCGUAGUCCGGAUCGCAGUCUGCAACUCGACUGCGUGAAGUCGGAAUCGCUAGUAAUCGCGGAUCAGAAUGUCGCGGUGAAUACGUUCCCGGGUCUUGUACACACCGCCCGUCACACCAUGGGAGUGGGUUUCACCAGAAGUAGGUAGCCUAACCGCAAGGAGGGCGCUACACAGAGAGGAUCGGGC
rnacentral:rRNA from 1 species